UACGUAGGGUGCAAGCGUUAAUCGGAAUUACUGGGCGUAAAGCGUGCGCAGGCGGUUAUGUAAGACAGAUGUGAAGUCCCCGGGCUCAACCUGGGAACUGCAUUUGUGACUGCAUAGCUAGAGUACGGUAGAGGGGGAUGGAAUUCCGCGUGUAGCAGUGAAAUGCGUAGAUAUGCGGAGGAACACCGAUGGCGAAGGCAAUCCCCUGGACCUGUACUGACGCUCAUGCACGAAAGCGUGGGGAGCAAACAGG
rnacentral:rRNA from 1 species